AGAGUUUGAUCAUGGCUCAGGACGAACGCUGACGGUGUGCUUUAGGCAUGCAAGUCGAACGAGAAAGCCCUUCGGGGUGAGUAAAGUGGCGAACGGGUGAGUAACACGUGGGCAACCUGCCCCUCGCAGGGGGACAACCGGAGGAAACUCCGGCUAAUACCCCGUAAGCUCUACACGCCGCAUGGCGAGUAGAGGAAAGGUAGCUUCGGCCAUCCGGCGAGGGAUGGGCCCGCGGUGCAUUAGCUAGUUGGUGGGGUAACGGCCCACCAAGGCGACGAUGCGUAGCUGGUCUGAGAGGAUGAUCAGCCACACUGGGACUGAGACACGGCCCAGACUCCUACGGGAGGCAGCAGCCAGGAAUCUUGGGCAAUGGGCGAAAGCCUGACCCAGCAACACCGUGUGGGUGAUGAAGGCCUUCGGGUCGUAAAGCCCUGUUGAUAGGGACGAAGGGCGAAGGGUUAAUAGCCCGGAGCUUGACGGUACCUUUCGAGGAAGCCCCGGCUAACUACGUGCCAGCAGCCGCGGUAAUACGUAGGGGGCGAGCGUUGUCCGGAAUUAUUGGGCGUAAAGAGCGUGUAGGCGGUUCGGUAAGUCUGUCGUGAAAUCCUGGGGCUCAACCCUGGGCGUGCGAUGGAUACUGCCGGGCUAGAGGGUGGUAGAGGCGAGUGGAAUUCCCGGUGUAGCGGUGAAAUGCGCAGAUAUCGGGAGGAACACCAGUAGCGAAGGCGGCUCGCUGGGCCACACCUGACGCUGAGACGCGAAAGCUAGGGGAGCGAACAGGAUUAGAUACCCUCGUAGUCC
rnacentral:rRNA from 1 species